rnacentral:tRNA from 1 species
AUAGCUCAGUGGCACAGUGCCUGCCUGGCAAGCACGAGGUCUUGAGUUCAAUCCUCAGU